rnacentral:rRNA from 1 species
UACGAACCGUACAAACGUUAUUCGGAAUCACUGGGCUUAAAGGGUGCGUAGGCGGCUUGGUAAGUUGAGUGUGAAAUCCCUCGGCUCAACCGAGGAAUGGCGCUCAAAACUAUCCGGCUUGAGGAAGGCAGAGGUAAGCGGAACUAAUGGUGGAGCGGUGAAAUGCGUUGAUAUCAUUAGGAACACCUGAGGCGAAAGCGGCUUACUGGGCCUUUUCUGACGCUGAGGCACGAAAGUUAGGGGAGCCAACGGGAUUAGAUACCCCGGUAGUCCUAGCUGUAAACGAUGAGCACUGGAUUGAGGGGACCUCCACAUCUUCUCGGUCGUAGCGAAAGUGUUAAGUGCUCCGCCUGGGGAGUAUGGUUGCAAGGCUGAA